CGGCUCACCAAGGCGACGAUACAUAGCCGACCUGAGAGGGUGAUCGGCCACACUGGGACUGAGACACGGCCCAGACUCCUACGGGAGGCAGCAGUAGGGAAUCUUCGGCAAUGGACGGAAGUCUGACCGAGCAACGCCGCGUGAGUGAAGAAGGUUUUCGGAUCGUAAAGCUCUGUUGUAAGAGAAGAACGAGUGUGAGAGUGGAAAGUUCACACUGUGACGGUAUCUUACCAGAAAGGG
rnacentral:rRNA from 1 species